AAAUACAAACACUAUUUCUUAUGUGCCAUACAAAUAGUUGAAGGUUAAUUAACAGUGUAACUAUAAAUAGUAAUGCCGCCAGUCUCCUUCAGACAAAA
rnacentral:snoRNA from 1 species